rfam:Prevotella sp. oral taxon 302 str. F0323 genomic scaffold supercont1.1, whole genome shotgun sequence.
GGCUGCAUCGGUUUGAUCGGGAUACUCAUCAAUAAUUACUAGAAAUACCGAGAAUGCUUCCUUCGUCAAUGGCGGGCCGACACGUUUCGGCGGAGUCGGAUUACAGAGACGGAGUGGCGCUCAAAUCCUUAUUUUAGCUCGGAGUUUCAUCACAUCAUCGAUGCAGCUUUCUUU